CCUGGCGUGGGUGUUACUUGUUUCCCAUUUGCUUGGACUUUCUGCUCUCGGUGGAAAAACCAUCACACACAGUUCACUUGCUCUCACCUUCAAGUUAUUUCCCUCCUCUAGAAUGCUGUACUUCCACCACUGCCAAAUCGUGAACUUUCUCUCCUUCAAUAUCCCACUGAGAACUCACCCCCAGGAUGGGACUCUGCUCACCCUGUCCUCUACUCAAGCAGAAGCCUCUCAGCGAUCAUGUAAAUAACUGUAUAACUUUAAUUGGCUCUGUUUAUAAGCCUCUUAUAUCUUUUUUUCCCUCUAGGUAUUUUUCCAUGUGUUUAUCCUGUCUCCAUUAAUUUGUAAUCUUCCAGAGGGCAAGGCCUGAACACAAGCUUCUGUUUGGUGUAAAGUGGAGGCACAGGCUGCAGGACUGUCUCAGAAGGGAAAUAAUAUUUACCUUCCAAACGGAGAUCUAAAACCCGAACAAAGCCUCAGGAAACAUACUCCACCACCAUCUUACAAGUUUGUGCUACGGGUGGAGGGAAAAUGAAUCUAAUGUAGGAGGCCUCCCGCUGUGCGUCUAGCAGGAAAGACCAUACGGUGCAAGUCUCCAGGAUCACUAGAGGGGUGGAUUGUUCAUUUCAGUCCAGGUAGCAACAGGAAGCCCGUGCAAAUGUUCCUCUCUCACUGCGGGGCUAAGGAGCGUGGGUCCUUUCCCGCGACUACCUGCUUGCCUCUCUCAGAACCUGCAAGUGAAGUGCGGAAGAUCUGUCUAUCUUCUCGGCGGCGCAGAGCCCAAGGUAGAAACGGAUGGAGGCGGUGCACUAGAUAACAUCAAAGCCCCGGGCAGGGGCCAGAAAGGGGGGCACAGGCAGCCCGGGGAAUGAAGCGCCUCCCUCUAGCAUUUCCUCUCACGCCCACUUCCAACCUAGGAGGCUUUUGGUUUCUGCUUUUUUGUUUUUAAAAUUAAAAGUUAAACCCAGG
rnacentral:lncRNA from 1 species